ACGGGGGAUAACUAUGGAACGGAUAGCUAAUACCGCAUAAUAUUAAUUAUUGCAUGAUAAUUGAUUGAAAGGUGCAAUUGCACCACUACCUAGAUGGACCUGCGUUGUAUUAGCUAGUAGGUGAGGUAACGGCUCACCUAGGCGACGAUACAUAGCCGACCUGAGAGGGUGAUCGGCCACACUGGGACUGAGACACGGCCCAGACUCCUACGGGAGGCAGCGGUAGGGAAUCUUCGGCAAUGGACGAAAGUCUGACCGAGCAACGCCGCGUGAGUGAAGAAGGUUUUCGGAUCGUAAAGCUCUGUUGUAAGAGAAGAACGGGUGUGAGAGUGGAAAGUUCACACUGUGACGGUAUCUUACCAGAAAGGGACGGCUAACUACGUGCCAGCAGCCGCGGUAAUACGUAGGUCCCGAGCGUUGUCCGGAUUUAUUGGGCGUAAAGCGAGCGCAGGCGGUUAGAUAAGUCUGAAGUUAAAGGCUGUGGCUUAACCAUAGUACGCUUUGGAAACUGUUUAACUUGAGUGCAGAAGGGGACGAGUGGAAUUCCAUGUGUAGCGGUGAAAUGCGUAGAUAUAUGGAGGACACCGGUGGCGAAAGCGGCUCUCUGGUCUGUAACUGACGCUGAGGCUCGAAAGCUGUGGGGAGCGAACAGGAUU
rnacentral:rRNA from 1 species